rnacentral:tRNA from 1 species
GGGCAGGUGGCGGAACUGGCAGACGCGCAGGACUCAAAAUCCUGUGGGAGCAAUCCCGUGGAGGUUCGAUUCCUCUCUUGCCCA